ACAUGCAGUCGAACGGUAGCACAGAGAGCUUGCUCUUGGGUGACGAGUGGCGGACGGGCCAGUUAUGUCUGGGAAACUGCCCGAUGGAGGGGGAUAACUACUGGAAACGGUAGCUAAUACCGCAUAACGUCGCAAGACCAAAGUGGGGGACCUUCGGGCCUCACACCAUCGGAUGUGCCCAGAUGGGAUUAGCUAGUUGGUGAGGUAAUGGCUCACCAAGGCGACGAUCCCUAGCUGGUCUGAGAGGAUGACCAGCCACACUGGAACUGAGACACGGUCCAGACUCCUACGGGAGGCAGCAGUGGGGAAUAUUGCACAAUGGGCGCAAGCCUGAUGCAGCCAUGCCGCGUGUAUGAAGAAGGCCUUCGGGUUGUAAAGUACUUUCAGCGAGGAGGAAGGCAUUAGGGUUAAUAACCUUAGUGAUUGACGUUACUCGCAGAAGAAGCACCGGCUAACUCCGUGCCAGCAGCCGCGGUAAUACGGAGGGUGCAAGCGUUAAUCGGAAUUACUGGGCGUAAAGCGCACGCAGGCGGUCUGUCAAGUCGGAUGUGAAAUCCCCGGGCUCAACCUGGGAACUGCAUUCGAAACUGGCAGGCUAGAGUCUUGUAGAGGGGGGUAGAAUUCCAGGUGUAGCGGUGAAAUGCGUAGAGAUCUGGAGGAAUACCGGUGGGCGAAGCGGCCCCCCUGACAAAGACUGACGCUCAAGUGCGAAAGCGUGGGGAGGCAACCGGGAUAGAUACCCUGUAAUCCAAGCCGUAAACGAUGUCUAUUUGAAAGGUGGUCCCUUGAAGAAUGGGCUUUCAGAGCUUACGCGUUAAAUAGACC
rnacentral:rRNA from 1 species